rnacentral:rRNA from 1 species
UACGAGGGGGGCAAGCGCUGUUCGGAAUUAUUGGGCGUAAAGGGCGCGUAGGCGGUGCGGUAAGUCACCUGUGAAAUCUCUGGGCUCAACCCAGAGCCUGCAUCCGAAACUGGAGUGCUAGAGUUCUGGAGGGGGUAGCGGAAUUCCUGGUGUAGCGGUGAAAUGCGUAGAUAUCAGGAGGAACACCAGUGGCGAAGGCGGCGAUCUGGGCAGACACUGACGCUGAGGUGCGAAAGCGUGGGGAGCAAACAGG